rnacentral:misc_RNA from 1 species
UCCGGUUUGUCACCGGCAGUCUCGCAUGAGUCCCCAACUAAAUGCUGGCAACAUGCGACGGGGGUUGCGCUCGUUGCGGGACUUAACCCAACAUCUCACGACACGAGCUGACGACAGCCAUGCAGCAUCUGUGCAUGAGCUCCGAAGAGCGGCCCUGAUCUCUCAGAGCCUUCCCAUGCAUGUCAAGCCCAGGUAAGGUUCUUCGCGUUGCGUCGAAUUAAACCACAUGCUCCACCGCUUGUGCGGGCCCCCGUCAAUUUCUUUGAGUUUUAGCCUUGCGGCCGUACUCCCCAGGCGGAUGACUUAACGCGUUAGCUGCGCCACCGAAACGCUACGCGCCCCGACAGCUAGUCAUCAUCGUUUACGGCGUGGACUAC